AGAUAUCCCACUACCCUCUGUUUCUGAGUAUAAAUAUGCACCCAGGUGAGGAGCAGCAAGGAGACGAGCCUUCUCUACCACUAGUACUACAUAUCUGAAGAUUCUGCAAAGAUAUCUUCGUCGCCAACUCAGCAGCAGUGUUUCUUUCCAAGAUGGCCAGCGAUGAGAAUUCGCUGGAUGAUGAAAACCCUGGAUCUUGGAUCGGUCGCCAUAAUACUAUUGAGAAGAGGGAAGAAGCAUCCAACAUGUUCUCUGUUCAUGAUCAUCACCAACGAACAGUAUGCCUUGACUUCUUAAAGGAAGAAAAUGGCGCAAAAACGCCGCCUUUGUGGUGGCAAGUACAAGCGAGCACUACAUCAUAGCCCAUAAGAUGGUGUUAUCCCCACUGAGCUUUCUAUUAUCCCUACAACUUCACCCAUAUCUUUAGUCCAUUUUCUGGUCACCACUCGUGCCAGAAUUAACGUUCUUGACCUUGUAAGGCCUUUUCUUGACCUUGUAAGGCCCUCUCUUCAUGUUUCUCUCAUCCCCUGGUGUCUCCAACCUCACACUUUCUUCUCCCUUCUAUCCCUCCUGAGCUAUUUCAUGCAUGUUCUGUCUGACAAUCUAUGAGAGAUGAUGUUGGAAUAAAAAUUCACAAUAUUAAGCACA